rnacentral:lncRNA from 1 species
CUCGAAUCUGAUGUCAACGACAAGAUUCCAACGACUGGUCGUGAGGAGAAAAUUUCCCUGAUUUACAAAGAUGACGCCCUUUUUUAACAUUGCAUCAUCGCUCAUAACAUAGAGUACCAUUAUAGCUGUUAGGAUAAGUAUUCUUUUAUCCAUUGUCGUUCUUCCGUUUCUGGAAAUAAAUUAUUUCAAAUUGCUUUUACUAAUUAUAUAAUUUUAAUUAACUUUAUCGCAUAUAUUUAUUGAUCUAUUAGUUUUGGUGUUCUGGAACGCGUGGAUGUAGGGAGUAUCCAUUGUUCAUCCGGUACUGUUCCCCUACUACGCAACGCAUAGCUGUGUGACGUUUGUGGUUGCAUGUCAGCGGUUAUUUCUCCCGUUUCUUGGGAUGGUCCUGAAUCCGGUCUUAUGGAAGAGAAUAUUAAUUCAUCCCAUGGGUCAACUUCGGGUUCAGGGACUACCUCUGUAGCAGAAGAGGGUUGCCCGUUACCUGAGUCAGUCGAUUCCGUGGGUGAAUCGAACUCUAGUCUAGCUAUGGCUGGUUUUAGCCGAUUUGCGUGAACUAAUAUGCGUUUUUUAUUUUUAAUCUCCUC